rnacentral:tRNA from 1 species
GUUGAGAUGGCAGAGUCCGGACAUUGCAAAAGAUCUAAGCCCUUUCCACAGAGGUUCAAGUCCUCUUCUCAACU